UCACGGCCUAUCAGCUUGUUGGUGGGGUAAUGGCCUACCAAGGCGACGACGGGUAGCCGGCCUGAGAGGGUGACCGGCCACACUGGGACUGAGACACGGCCCAGACUCCUACGGGAGGCAGCAGUGGGGAAUAUUGCACAAUGGGCGCAAGCCUGAUGCAGCGACGCCGCGUGAGGGAUGACGGCCUUCGGGUUGUAAACCUCUUUCAGCACGGAAGAAGCGAAAGUGACGGUACGUGCAGAAGAAGCGCCGGCUAACUACGUGCCAGCAGCCGCGGUAAUACGUAGGGCGCAAGCGUUGUCCGGAAUUAUUGGGCGUAAAGAGCUCGUAGGCGGUUUGUCGCGUCUGCUGUGAAAGCCCGGGGCUUAACCCCGGGUGUGCAGUGGGUACGGGCAGACUUGAGUGCAGUAGGGGAGACUGGAACUCCUGGUGUAGCGGUGAAAUGCGCAGAUAUCAGGAAGAACACCGAUGGCGAAGGCAGGUCUCUGGGCUGUUACUGACGCUGAGGAGCGAAAGCAUGGGGAGCGAACAGGAUUAGAUACCCUGGUAGUCCAUGCCGUAAACGUUGGGCACUAGGUG
rnacentral:rRNA from 1 species